rnacentral:rRNA from 1 species
GAUGAACGCUGGCGGCGUGCCUAAUACAUGCAAGUCGAGCGGACCAAAGAGAGCUUGCUCUCUGAGGUUAGCGGCGGACGGGUGAGUAACACGUGGGUAACCUGCCUGUAAGACGGGGAUAACUUCGGGAAACCGAAGCUAAUACCGGAUGAUAAAGAGAAACGCCUGUUUCUUUUUUGAAAGUCGGCCUUGUGCUGACGCUUACAGAUGGGCCCGCGGCGCAUUAGCUAGUUGGUGAGGCAACGGCUCACCAAGGCGAGGAUGCGUAGCCGACCUGGGAGGGUGAUCGGCCACACUGGGACUGAGACACGGCCCAGACUCCUACGGGAGGCAGCAGUAGGGAAUCUUCGGCAAUGGACGAAAGUCUGACCGAGCAACGCCGCGUGAGCGAUGAAGGCCUUCGGGUCGUAAAGCUCUGUUGUCAGAGAAGAACAAGUACCGGAGUAACUGCCGGUACCUUGACGGUACCUGACCAGAAAGCCACGGCUAACUACGUGCCAGCCGCCGCAGUAA